UACGUAGGGUGCAAGCGUUGUCCGGAAUUAUUGGGCGUAAAGAGCUCGUAGGCGGUCAGUCGCGUCUGCUGUGAAAACUCGGGGCUUAACUCCGGGCCUGCAGUGGGUACGGGCUGACUAGAGUGCGGUAGGGGAGACUGGAAUUCCUGGUGUAGCGGUGAAAUGCGUAGAUAUCUGGAGGAACACCGGUGGCGAAGGCGGCGUCCUGGACCAACACUGACACUGAUGAGCGAAAGCCAGGGGAGCAAACGGG
rnacentral:rRNA from 1 species